rnacentral:rRNA from 1 species
UACGGAGGAUGCAAGCGUUAUCCGGAUUUAUUGGGCGUAAAGCGUCCGCAGGUGGCUAUUCAAGUCUGCUGUCAAAGCUCGGAGCUUAACUCCGAAUCGGCGGUGGAAACUGAACAGCUAGAGUGCAGUAGGGGUAGAGGGAAUUCCCGGUGUAGCGGUGAAAUGCGUAGAUAUCGAGAGGAACACCUGCGGCGAAGGCGGGUUGCUGGGCUGAUACUGACGCUGAGGCGCGAAAGCCAGGGGAGCGAACGGG